rnacentral:tRNA from 1 species
GGGGCUAUAGCUCAGUUGGCUAGAGCACCUGCUUUGCAAGCAGGAUGUCCGGGGUUCGAGUCCCCGUAGCUCCA